rnacentral:rRNA from 1 species
UGGAUUGGUGCCUUCGGGAACGCUGAGACAGGUGCUGCAUGGCUGUCGUCAGCUCGUGUUGUGAAAUGUUGGGUUAAGUCCCGNAACGAGCGCAACCCUUAUCCUUUGUUGCCAGCGAUUCGGUCGGGAACUCAAAGGAGACUGCCGGUGAUAAACCGGAGGAAGGUGGGGAUGACGUCAAGUCAUCAUGGCCCUUACGAGUAGGGCUACACACGUGCUACAAUGGCGCAUACAAAGAGAAGCGACCUCGCGAGAGCAAGCGGACCUCAUAAAGUGCGUCGUAGUCCGGAUCGGAGUCUGCAACUCGACUCCGUGAAGUCGGAAUCGCUAGUAAUCGUGGAUCAGAAUGCCACGGUGAAUACGUUCCCGGGCCUUGUACACACCGCCCGUCACACCAUGGGAGUGGGUUGCAAAAGAAGUAGGUAGCUUAACCCUCGGGAGGGCGCUUACCACUUUGUGAUUCAUGACUGGGGUGAAGUCGUAACAAGGUAAGCGUAGCGAG